ACUGCACAACUGGGGCAUGAUAUUUGGACCAAUGCUGCUAUGGCCAGAGCAAGAAGCCUCUGAUGCAAUGGCCACACUCAGUGCUCUGUGCAGCCAGCAAACCUGUUAAUCAAUGACUUCUCCAGCUGCUUUCUGAAUCCUGGGAUCCCGAACUUUGCCCCAUACAAGAUGAUGAGCUGUCCUUGGAUCUAAAGAGGAAAGUAUUUUUCUGUGACCUGAAAUCUCUGGUGCUCCAUACUCAUAUUUCUGGUUAUGAUAAGUUUGGGAUUUCUUGAAGAGAGAUUCUGGUUCUAAUAGUUCUGGCCAGUUUCCUUUGAAUGACCCCACUGGCUCAGAGUUGCAUGGAGAACCCAGCUGGAGCAUUUAUUUUGUGAUAUAUUCAUUCAAGAGGAUCUUGCUGCACACGCAGGAGCUUUAGAUUGUGAUGACUACCAAUGAUGUCCUAGCUACACUACAGGAAAGACAAAAUUACAGAUCAUCACUGAUAAAAGAACCCUCAAAAAACAAAAUCUGAAGACUCUGUGGAAUGGCUAUUUUCUUAUUUUAUGUCCUGACUUUCCUCAAGUUUACAGAGGAAGUAGAAGAGCAUUCAACCCUGUCAAGCAUUCUAUUCUGAGUUAGGUGAAGAGGCCUGAAGGGUCAAGUAUGGCCUUAGAGAAGCAGGGCUCAUAUUGGUAGGGAGAAGGGAGGUGAUUAGUCACUUAUUUUUCAGAUUUUUAGAGUACCAGGUAGCAUGAAAGAAAAGGGUUAGUUAGUGAUUGGAUCUCAAGAUAUUUACAGAUUUCUCAAAAGAGAGCACUUACUGAAAAAUAAUAAUUUUUCAAAUAAGAUCUCAUUGUGAUAUCCCAUCACUGUGCAGAGGUAACUCUGGGUUGAAAGGCUGAAUAUAAGGCCCAGCAGGUCAGGCUUUGAGUACAGAACCAGGAUUGGAGUAUGUUAUAAUGUGGGGACCAAAGCAACUCAUUGGUCAACAUUUGGUUAUUUAUUACGUGAUAAACUGAUUUCUUUUGUCCCCAAGACAAGGCACAGAAAGAUUGUGCUGUGCAAUGGUGGGAGGUUGAAUGGGAUAUCCAUCCAUAUUGAUUUAACAGCAUGGAUUCUUGGCCUGUGGAAGAAUGAUUUAUGGGUGUGAAGUAUUCAACAUGCAUCAUUUUAUAUAAUCCUCACAAAAAUCCUGCUGAGGUGGAUAAUGCCAAAAUUAUUAGCUCUAUUUUGUAGAUGGAGAAGCUGAUAUUGACAAAUGAUUUGCCCCAGAUUAUCCAGUUAGUCAGUGGUGAAGGCAAGAAUCUAAUCCAGGUCUCUUGAUUGCCCUUUCCACUUUACCAUAUUACCUCUUUUCUUACCAGAAGUAACAGCCUUAUUUGGGACUACUUAUUCAAUUGAAUUUAAUUCUAUUUGACAAACAUUUUGCCUGCUGUGUGUCAGGGUAUGCUAGGCUCUGGGAAUGCAAAGAAAGAAAUGGAACAGUCCUUGCCUUCAAGGAGAUUUCAUUCUAUUGAAUUCUUCUCUAGCUUUGGGCUUAGGAGGGAAAAUUAUAAGCAUUGAUCAAAUUGAGGUACUGCCUUGGACUUGAGUUCCCUGGCCAAUAUUUGCAAUAUGAGGACAUUUUAGAAGAGUAGUCUUAGGGGUGGGGGGACUUGAAGGAUAAUAGUAAGGAAAAUUUUUUAUUUAAUCAUCACAAAUUUUGAUUCCUAUUAUCCUCCAAGUCCUUACUCAUUUGUAGUCCAGGGAACCUUGCAUACUUUAUUGCACAUUUAAAAAAUUCCUCUUCUUACAGUUGUUUUCUUUCUGUUACUCCUUCCUCCUUCUCUUACAUAUAGAUAAUAUAUGGCAGAUAAGAUAGACAGAGUCAACCAACUGUGUCUUAGCUACUGUAAGACAAUAAUGGAGUUUUGGGAUUCCCAGAGGCCCCUCUUGAGAGAGCCAGGCCUGACCUUUCUUAAGGCCAGCCCAG